UACGGAGGCAGCAGUGGGGAAUAUUGCACAAUGGGGGAAACCCUGAUGCAGCGACGCCGCGUGAGUGAAGAAGUAUUUCGGUAUGUAAAGCUCUAUCAGCAGGGAAGAUAAUGACGGUACCUGACUAAGAAGCCCCGGCUAAAUACGUGCCAGCAGCCGCGGUAAU
rnacentral:rRNA from 1 species